UGGGGCUAUAGCUCAGUUGGUAGAGAGUUUGCCUCCCAUGCACAAAGCCCUGGGUUCAAUCCCCAGUACCCCAC
rnacentral:tRNA from 1 species